rnacentral:lncRNA from 1 species
AUAACGGGCUGAGGACAUCGGGGGAAGGCUUUAGACUUCCUCAGAACAUGGCUUCUAAUCCCCAGAACCCUCUAGAGCUGAGUUCCCCAUCUUUGAGCUCAAUCAUCUGAACAAAGAAGAAACUGAAUACCAUGUUGCCUCCUAGACUGCCAUGUCUAGCUAUGCCACCUAAGUCUCCUCCACUCCUAGUCCCCUCUGCACUCA